rnacentral:lncRNA from 1 species
GGCACAGCCACUCGGCUGCCUGCAGUGGCAGUGGCUACUCUGACGGAUCAAACCCAAGGCCUUCACAGUCAGCCACACCCCGGGCUACUUCUGAGGGGGGCACUGGGCCAGUCUCAGGCUGGGGGUGCAGGGAGCACCCAGGAGGCCUGGGAAGAGGACGGAUCCUUGGACAGUGGGCUGGGACAGCAGGGCCGAAGCGGGCUGGGGCGGGAGGCAGGGUGAUGCCCAGACCUUACUUCUUGCUCUGGGCCCGGGUGCCCAGGAUGGAAGUUUCCAAUGACGGGGUCUUCUGUGUGACACUCCCAGCCGCAGCUGGCCCUGCAGGGCUGUACUGGCCCAGCCUGGACAGAGCAGGCCAGGGUCCAGGGCUCAGCCGCCAGGGUGUGCAGGACCAUGGGCUCAGCACUGCUGAGCCCCACUAGGGACCCGAGGCUACCAGGAGAGGGGACAGAAGGAGCCAGAGAGAGGCCCGAGAGGAACAUGGGCAGGCAGAGGGGAGAGGCCCGGCUGGGGACUCACAGCGAAGGCCAUGGUGCCAGCUCUGCAAGUGGCCAGCCUGGGGAUAACAGGGCGUCCCUCAUGGGGUACAGCGUGCUGAUCCUCGCUGGUGCUCUGGGGUGGCGAGGCUCCAGGCCAGGAGGGAGGCCAGGGCCCUGCAGGGACGGGCUCUGGACCCCUGGCAGAACACUGAGGACUCCGUGGAGGUGUGGAUACCCCUGCACCCUGCAGCCCAGGGAUAGAACUUGGGACCUUGUGCUUGUGAGGCAGGUGGUGGAACCACUGAGCCAAAUCCCCAGCUCUGUUUUUCUUUUUUAGAUGGGCACCACCCCUGUGCCAGGCACCGAGGGAGCCGGGACGGAGGCCAGGGAGGCCGUGAGGGCAGUCCCUGCCGCAUGGGGGUCAGGUCUGAGCAGGGCAGGGUCCCUGAACCCUGGCUCGGGGGAGGAUGGUGACCUGUGGCCGGGGUGGGGCGGAUAAGGCCCCAUCAAUCACCUGGGCCGGCUCCCUUGCCUGGGGCUCCUUCCAGCUGCCUGGGGCCUCCGGAGCCUGAGGGGGGUAGGCCCAGUGCCCCAGACGCCAUUCGGGGUGUGGGUGAGGGUCGGGGCCCUGAUGUGCACUGGGAACUGAGACCCGGGAGGGGCGGCUCCUGCCCCACGUCCCCCGGGUCUGAUGCCGCUGCAGCCUGGGCUUUGUGGGGGUGGCAGGGAGCCGGGAGAGGGGCUGAGGGCUCUGCUUCAGCUCGGUCUGUGGUGGCAGCGGGCUGGGCCUUUCUCGGGGCCUCAGUUCUCCGAGAGUGAAGUGUGACCU